rnacentral:lncRNA from 1 species
UUGGGACAGAAAGUAGGCGGAGGGGUGUAAAGCCCUCAACCCCUAAACAAAGCAAGAGGAUCUCCAGACUGCAGACCUUGACUCAUGAAGCUGAGACACUCAGGAUGACCUUGUUCUCACUUAGCAUUACACUCACAGCUGGCAGGAUCUGGGCCAAGAGAGCAUUAAGUGUCUUCCUUACCUCCCUGGAAGUUUAAGCUGUAAAGAUGAUUGUCAUCGCAGAAGGAAUUUGUAGUCCUGUAUCUUUAAGAGCAUCCCUCUUGUUUCUCAGGCUGCAAAACAGGAGGAAGCUUAAUACAAUGCUCUAUACUGCAGCACCAUCCUCUGGAUGGGGAUGCAGUUUGAAGAAGAAGGGAGAAUGAGGACGAGUCAUCACAUGCUCUUGUGUCCACGACUUCCCAGACAUGAUGGGGAUACCCUCAGAUGGUGAACCAAAAUAAACCCCUUCUUUCCUGACUUGCUCCUGUCAGGGUGUUUCAUCACAGCGACAUGACAAUAAAUCCCAAGCCACUCUCAAUAAAUCACUCUCAUGCUACAUAUUCUAAUGGAAGAGUCUACCCUACUUAAGAGUAACCUUUUUUUUUGUUGUUGUUGUUGUUGCUAUUUUAGUUUUCAAUAUCAUUUUUCUUCCUUUGUUAUCCUGCUCAAAAU